CUCGCUCCCUGGCAUUUCCGGUUCAGUUCAGGUACGUUGGGGCUUUGCUCAGGGUGUAAUGAUGUGAACAUCUCAAGGCUAAUUUGUUUAUUUAUAGUUUUGGAGCGGCGCUGGUGGCGCGUGCGUUCAGUGACGGUAACAUUAGCCGCGCGUGCGUAAUCAUACAACCUCGUGUCUGGUGUUUGUUCAACCCAAUAGAGCUGUUGAACUGCCUCUAUUUCAUGUGGUGGUGUCAGUGGGCCUGAGUGUUCUAGCCACCACAUCACAGUGUCUGUAAUAUUUUAGUUUUUCUUUCUUUGCUUAUUGUUUAGUGUGUUGUGUAAUUCUGGGUUAAUUGGUGUUUUUCUUUCUCUCCAGGAGCCAGUGAGUCUUGGUGGACAGGGGAAGCUAGCUGCCUUCAUUCGGUGGUGUGUGCUUCACAGCGUGCUCAGUGUGCUGGCACAACAACCUCCUUGUGGUGUAGGUAGUGUUUAAUGAUUUGGUUUUAAUUAAGGUGGGUUUGGAUGACCUCCCAGGAAGUAGCUGGCCUGCCUUGUUCCCACCAAGCCUGGGCCUGGAGAAUUGCUUAGUUUUAAAAUUCUUAUUGUGCUUCAUGGGAGGGUGACUUUAUAUUUAUCAUUUUUAAUGACGCUUAAGUGUGAUAAUAAAAUGUAGCUUUUAUUGAUA